AAGGGGCUGGGGGCGUGGCCAAGUCCCGCCCCGCCCCGCCCUGCGGCCUGCGCUGCCCGGCGCUGCUCCAGCCCGCUAAGCGCGCUGGGACUCGGAGCGGCGUGGGUACCCGAGCGGUUUCUGCAGACGCAGCGCGCUCCCCGCUCCAUCUCCCCUGUAGCCCCGGCCCGGCUGAACCUCUUAAAUGUCCUGCCUGAGCCCCAGAAUCGACAGCGGUCCUUGAACGUAUGCAUUCCGGCUACGUAAACAUUGCCUCCUGCGCGGUUAGGGUGGCCCUUUCCUCGAAGACCCCAGACAUCUGGACCAGCCCCAAGUGGAUGGCCUCCCUGUUACUGCCCAAGCCUGGUUUCACAGCCUGGACUCUGGUCUAGCGGCUGAGCAUCCAGUUGGUGAAAAGUGCUAGAGAUGCUGCCAGUAGCCUGAGGAACUGGAUCUCAGAGAGCUGGAGGCCUGGGCAAAGGUCGCACAGCCCCAAGGACAAGAGAAACUUCUGACUUAUCUCUUUCCUUAGCAGUUAAGUCCAAACCACUUGAAGUAUUUCUGCUCUGAAAGGCUUCACACGGUGCCUGCAUUUUAACACAGCAUCUACCAAGACCUAGCUCUGUGAAGACUUGACACCAUCCAAAGGAACUUAAUGCAGGCUAAUUCGGAAACUGCACUUCCUUUACUAGGCCAUGCCCAUUAUGGCAGAUACCAGGAUGGAUCAGGAGAGGAUACUGCCAUAUUGCCCUGAGCAUGCUUCAUCUCAUUUGGUCCUGGAAAUGACCAGGUCUGGGACUUGGAUGGGAGAGUGGAGGAGAGAUACAACUGUAUGCACCUUUGUUCACGGCCUGCCACAAUGUCCAUGCUCAGCCAGACACAGGAAGUCUCUUUUCCUGGUACACCCUGCUCCCCCUGCUUGGGUUAUAUUUACAUAAAACAUCCACAAAGCCAAAAAGAAACAAUGCUGGAUUGUUUGGAGGUCUGGCCUUGCAUCCUGGGUCUGCUACUUAGGUUGUUUGACACCUUGGUUAUUGCCUCUUUCCAAAGUCUCUUCCAGCCUUGAAUAUCUCUGGAUCUAGACCUAGUCUGCCCUCAGACUCUCCUCUGUGGCCAAGGUCUCUGCCUUUGACUUCACCCCGGCAAGAGACAAGGAACUGUUUCUUCUGGGGCGUACCGCCUCAUGCUGCCAUUCAACCAGGCAAAAUUCUGACUCCCAGCAGGCACGUCUCUGAAAAGAAGGAAGAGAAAGCAGUGACAAGAACUGCUACAGAGGGGUGCUGGAAAUACUUGCUGAUCUGAGGUGACUUGAGGGGAUUCUGUCUGGGAAGGCCAUCAAACUGUACCUCUGUGAUAAGCACACUUCUUCAUAUGUAUCCUACACAUUAGUGUUUUCAAAGAUCCAGAAAUCACUGAUAGUGGUUCAUACCUGUAUUGCCAACACUCCAGAGCCCAAGGCAAGAAGAGAUGGCAAGGUUGAGACCAGCCUCAGCUAUACAGUUACAGCGAGCUCCAAGUCAGCCUGGGCUUUCUAGCAAGACCCUAUCCCAAACAAAACAAAAUAAAUCAUUUGUUAAAGUCAGAAAAGCAAAUUGUAGAACUGAAGUAAUAUUGAAAUUAUAAAACACCACAUUAUACAAUAUUUUACUUAUUUAAUUUUUGUUUUGUUUUGUUUUUUGUUUUUCGAGACAGGGUUUCUCUGUGUAGUUUUGGUUCUUGUCCUGGAUCCGUGCUGUAGACCAGGCUGGCCUUGAACUCACA